GAUGAACGCUGGCGGCGUGCUUAACACAUGCAAGUCGAACGAAACACCUUAUUUGAUUUUCUUCGGAACUGAAGAUUUGGUGAUUGAGUGGCGGACGGGUGAGUAACGCGUGGGUAACCUGCCCUGUACAGGGGGAUAAAAGUCAGAAAUGACUGCUAAUACCGCAUAAGACCACAGCACCGCAUGGUGCAGGGGUAAAAACUCCGGUGGUACAGGAUGGACCCGCGUCUGAUUAGCUGGUUGGUGAGGUCACGGCUCACCAAGGCGAGGAUCAGUAGCCGGCUUGAGAGAGAGAACGGCCACAUUGGGACUGAGACGCGGCCCGAACUCCUACGGGAAGCAGCAGUGGGGAAUAGUGCACAAUGGGGGAAACGCUGAUGCUGCGACGCCGCGUGAGUGAAGAAGUAUUUCGGUAUGUAAAGCUCUAGCAGCAGGGAAGAAAAUGACGGUACCUGACUAAGAAGCCCCGGCUAACUACGUG
rnacentral:rRNA from 1 species